GGAAUAUAAGAACAUGUUUCUUAACUUUUAACUAAAAAAAUUAAGAUUCUUAAAACUCUUAUUUAAGACCGGUUCUUAGCUUUUUUACUUAAAAAUUAAGAAACGGGUUCUUAUAUUCC
rfam:Brassica oleracea var. oleracea cultivar TO1000 chromosome C6, whole genome shotgun sequence